rnacentral:rRNA from 1 species
AUUGAACGCUGGCGGCAGGCCUAACACAUGCAAGUCGAGCGAGCGGCGGACGGGUGAGUAAUGUAUGGGAACCUGCCUGAUGGAGGGGGAUAACUACUGGAAACGGUAGCUAAUACCGCAUACCAUCAGAUGUGCCCACAUGGGAUUAGCUAGUAGGUGGGGUAAAGGCUCACCUAGGCGACGAUCCCUAGCUGGUCUGAGAGGAUGACCAGCCACACUGGGACUGAGACACGGCCCAGACUCCUACGGGAGGUAGCAGUGGGGAAUAUUGCACAAUGGGCGAAAGCCUGAUGCAGCCAUGCCGCGUGUGUGAAGAAGGCCUUCGGGUUGUAAAGCACUUUCAGUGGGGAGGCGGUACUCGCAGAAGAAGCAACGGCUAACUCCGUGCCAGCAGCCGCGGUAAUAC